CUCAUUAAACUUUAUAAAGUUAAAAACAUUAUAAACAUGCAUAAAGUAGAAAUAAAAAGAUAAAUGUACGUUCAUUUAUGUAUUUUUUAAAACACCCUCCUUUCUAAAAAAUAUUCCGCGCUUGCGCGAAAACUGGUGGGCGGUAAGGAAAUUUUUCCAUCAAGAAAGAUGCAUUAGUGGGCGGUAAGUGGAAAAAGGUUGACUACCACUGACCUAAAC